GACGAACGCUGGCGGCGUGCUUAACACAUGCAAGUCGAACGGAAAGGCCCUGCUUUUGUGGGGUGCUCGAGUGGCGAACGGGUGAGUAACACGUGAGUAACCUGCCCUUGACUUUGGGAUAACUUCAGGAAACUGGGGCUAAUACCGGAUAGGAGCUCCUGCUGCAUGGUGGGGGUUGGAAAGUUUCGGCGGUUGGGGAUGGACUCGCGGCUUAUCAGCUUGUUGGUGGGGUAGUGGCUUACCAAGGCUUUGACGGGUAGCCGGCCUGAGAGGGUGACCGGCCACAUUGGGACUGGGAUACGGCCCAGACUCAUUCGGGAGGCAGCAGUGGGGAAUAUUGCACAAUGGGCGGAAGCCGGAUGCAGCAACGCCGCGUGCGGGAUGACGGCCUUCGGGUUGGAAACCGCUUUCGCCUGUGACGAAGCGUGAGUGACGGUAAUGGGUAAAGAAGCACCGGCAAACUACGU
rnacentral:rRNA from 1 species